AUUGAACGCUGGCGGCAGGCCUAACACAUGCAAGUCGAAUGGUAACAGGAAACAGCUUGCUGUUUCGCUGACGAGUGGCGGACGGGUGAGUAAUGUCUGGGAAACUGCCUGAUGGAGGGGGAUAACUACUGGAAACGGUAGCUAAUACCGCAUAACGUCGCAAGACCAAAGAGGUGGACCUUCGGGCCUCUUGCCAUCAGAUGUGCCCAGAUGGGAUUAGCUAGUAGGUGGGGUAACGGCUCACCUAGGCGACGAUCCCUAGCUGGUCUGAGAGGAUGACCAGCCACACUGGAACUGAGACACGGUCCAGACUCCUACGGGAGGCAGCAGUGGGGAAUAUUGCACAAUGGGCGCAAGCCUGAUGCAGCCAUGCCGCGUGUAUGAAGAAGGCCUUCGGGUUGUAAAGUACUUUCAGCGGGGAGGAAGGGAGUAAAGUUAAUACCUUUGCUCAUUGACGUUACCCGCAGAAGAAGCACCGGCUAACUCCGUG
rnacentral:rRNA from 1 species